AGCGCCUGUACGUCAACUCGGCUACGGCUAGGCGACACCGCGCUUACGCCUCGCCGCCCGCUGGCUGAAGUUGGCA